AUGGAGAUGAAGUCGUCUAAACGGCCCUUCGAGUUGCUCAUAGAGAAGAGGCUAUGCCUUGAAAUCCUCAGAUCUGAUUACAUCAAAAUGUUUCACAAGAUUAAGGUCCACAAGAAUGCCAUAGACGAGAUUUACAAUCAAGUCAACCAUGUUGAGCCAUGGAUGAUUAACGACAAGAGGGUCCCUGGGCACGAUACCUUCAUUGCCCUCACCAAACCCGUCCGCAUUGUCCCCUCCAAGGCCUUCUGCCUCCUUUACAAGCCCUUCACCAUGAAACUUACCACGAAGCAGAUCAAGGACCUAAUUGACAACACGCACUCGCCUUAUGUCAGAGCUAUUGGAUUUUUAUACCUGCGGUAUGUUGCGGAACCAGAUACCUUAUGGACUUGGUAUGAGCCCUACAUUCGAGAUGACGAGAAGUUUUCGCCUGGACCCAAUGGUCAAAUGACUACUAUGGGCGUUUAUGUGCGUGAUCUCCUCCUGGGUGAGCGCUACUUCGGCAGUCCUCUUCCGCGAAUGCCAACCCGAGUUUUGCAAGAGGUCAUGGCCGAUCUUAAGACGAUGAGGCUCCCAACAAAACUGUCAGGGAUAAUUCAGUAUUCUUCCGUACAAGGAAGUGAAAGUGGUCAUGCAAAAUCUCCACCGAGGAAGCACCGAAGUCAAAGUUGUGAGAGUAGUCAUGAUACUGAGAGGAACCAUUCAGAGCAUGAUCGUCCUAGGCACAAUGUUAGGGAGCAAGGUCGGCAAGCCCAAGUCAAGAAAGACCUUGAAAGGGAUGAUGAGAGACGUAGGGGUUCUGACCGAAAUGGCUGUUCGAGUGGACGCCGCAGGAGCAGAAGCAGGAGCCGUGAAAGGAGGGACUGGGGACUUGACCGUGAAAGGAAGGACCCUGGUCGAAACAGGCGUUCGAGAGGCCGCAGUGGCAGGAGCAGGAGCAGGAGCAGGAGUAGGGGCAGGAGGUGGAGCAGGGGCGAGCACGAGCCUGAGCAGGAGCAGGAGCGUCAGCCCCACUUCAUUUUGCGAAGAUGA
rnacentral:rRNA from 1 species